rnacentral:rRNA from 1 species
UACAGAGGUCCCAAGCGUUGUUCGGAUUCAUUGGGCGUAAAGGGUGCGUAGGCGGCGCCGUAAGUCGGGUGUGAAAUUUCGGAGCUUAACUCCGAAACUGCAUUCGAUACUGUGGUGCUCGAGGACUGGAGAGGAGACUGGAAUUCAUGGUGUAGCAGUGAAAUGCGUAGAGAUCAUGAGGAAGACCAGUGGCGAAGGCGGGUCUCUGGACAGUUCCUGACACUGAGGCACGAAGGCCAGGGGAGCAAACGGG